rnacentral:rRNA from 1 species
GGGUUGUGAGGUUAAGCGACUAAGCGUACACGGUGGAUGCCCUGGCAGUCAGAGGCGAUGAAGGGCGUGCUAAUCUGCGAUAAGCGCCGGUAAGGUGAUAUGAACCGUUAUAACCGGCGAUACCCGAAUGGGGAAACCCAGUGUGAUUCGUCACACUAUCAUUACGUGAAUACAUAGCGUAAUGAAGCGAACCGGGGGAACUGAAACAUCUAAGUACCCCGAGGAAAAGAAAUCAACCGAGAUUCCCCCAGUAGCGGCGAGCGAACGGGGAGGAGCCCAGAGCCUGAAUCAGCAUGUGUGUUAGUGGAAGCGUCUGGAAAGGCGCGCGAUACAGGGUGACAGCCCCGUACACAAAAGCGCAUGUGUUGUGAGCUCGAUGAGUAGGGCGGGACACGUGGUAUCCUGUCUGAAUAUGGGGGGACCAUCCUCCAAGGCUAAAUACUCCUGACUGACCGAUAGUGAACCAGUACCGUGAGGGAAAGGCGAAAAGAACCCCGGCGAGGGGAGUGAAAAAGAACCUGAAACCGUGUACGUACAAGCAGUGGGAGCACCCUUUGGGGUGUGACUGCGUACCUUUUGUAUAAUGGGUCAGCGACUUAUAUUCUGUAGCAAGGUUAACCGAAUAGGGGAGCCGGAGGGAAACCGAGUCUUAAUUGGGCGUUAAGUUGCAGGGUAUAGACCCGAAACCCGGUGAUCUAGCCAUGGGCAGGUUGAAGGUUGGGUAACACUAACUGGAGGACCGAACCGACUAAUGUUGAAAAAUUAGCGGAUGACCUGUGGCUGGGGGUGAAAGGCCAAUCAAACCGGGAGAUAGCUGGUUCUCCCCGAAAGCUAUUUAGGUAGCGCCUCGUGAACUCAUCUCCGGGGGUAGAGCACUGUUUCGGCUAGGGGGCCAUCCCGGCUUACCAACCCGAUGCAAACUGCGAAUACCGGAGAAUGUUAUCACGGGAGACACACGGCGGGUGCUAACGUCCGUCGUGAAGAGGGAAACAACCCAGACCGCCAGCUAAGGUCCCAAAGUCAUGGUUAAGUGGGAAACGAUGUGGGAAGGCCCAGACAGCCAGGAUGUUGGCUUAGAAGCAGCCAUC